UAGGGAAUCUUCCGCAAUGGGCGAAAGCCUGACGGAGCAACGCCGCGUGAGUGAUGAAGGUCUUCGGAUCGUAAAACUCUGUUAUUAGGGAAGAACAAAUGUGUAAGUAACUAUGCACGUCUUGACGGUACCUAAUCAGAAAGCCACGGCUAACUACGUGCCAGCAGCCGCGGUAAUACGUAGGUGGCAAGCGUUAUCCGGAAUUAUUGGGCGUAAAGCGCGCGUAGGCGGUUUUUUAAGUCUGAUGUGAAAGCCCACGGCUCAACCGUGGAGGGUCAUUGGAAACUGGAAAACUUGAGUGCAGAAGAGGAAAGGGGAAUUCCAUGUGUAGCGGUGAAAUGCGCAGCGAUAUGGAGGAACACCAGUGGCGAAGGCGACUUUCUGGUCUGUAACUGACGCUGAUGUGCGAAAGCGUGGGGAUCAAACAGG
rnacentral:rRNA from 1 species